AAGGCUGUGCGACGACCGGAAUACCGGCCUGUCACGCCGGGGGUCGCGGGUUCGAGUCCCGUCCGCUCCGCCA
rnacentral:tRNA from 1 species